AUUGAACGCUGGCGGCAGGCUUAACACAUGCAAGUCGAGCGGAAACGAUGAAAAGCUUGCUUUUCAGGCGUCGAGCGGCGGACGGGUGAGUAAUGCGUACGAAUCUGCCUAGUAGUGGGGGAUAGCCCAGAGAAAUUUGGAUUAAUACCGCAUACGCCCUACGGGGGAAAGCAGGGGACCUUCGGGCCUUGCGCUUUUAGAUGAGCGUGCGUCGGAUUAGCUAGUUGGUGGGGUAAUGGCCUACCAAGGCGACGAUCCGUAGCUGGUCUGAGAGGAUGAUCAGCCACACUGGGACUGAGACACGGCCCAG
rnacentral:rRNA from 1 species